UGCAGAAUCCCGUGAACCAUCGAGUCUUUGAACGCAAGUUGCGCCCCAAGCCUUCUGGCCGAGGGCACGUCUGCCUGGGCGUCACAAAUCGUCGUCCCCCUCAAUUCUUUUGCGGGUAUUGGACGGAAGCUGGUCUCCCGUGUGUUACCGCACGCGGUUGGCCAAAAUAUGAGCUAAGGAUGCGUGGAGCGUCCCGACAUGCGGUGGUGAACUCAAGCCUCUUCAUAUAGUCGGUCGCUCCAAUCCGUAAGCUCUCGAUGACCCAAUGUCCUCAAAGCGACCCCAGGUCAGGCGGGAUCACCCGCUGAGUUUAAGCAUAUCAAUAAGCGGAGGAAAAGAAACUAACAAGGAUUCCCUUAGUAACGGCGAGCGAACCGGGAAGAGCCCAGCUUGAAAAUCGGACGUCUUCGGCGUUCGA
rnacentral:rRNA from 1 species